ensembl:rRNA 5S_rRNA 5S ribosomal RNA
GUCUACGGCCAUACCACCCUGAACGUGCCCAAUCUCAUUUGAUUUCGGAAGCUAAGCAGGGUCGGUCCUGGUUAGUACUUGGAUGGGAGACUGCCUGGGAAUACUGGGUGCUGUAGGCU